rnacentral:ncRNA from 2 species
AGAAAACUUCAGGGCAGGGCGAAAUUCCCUACCGGCGGUAAAAGUCCGCGAGCUUAGGCAUGAUUAGGUGAAAUUCCUAAACCGACAGUUAAAGUCUGGAUGGAAGAAGUAUUUU